AAACCUCACUAACAGGAUAUAUCUAUGAAAAUAGUGUUUUUCUAUCUGAUAUUAACUAACUUGAUCAUUUACAAAAUGAUCUGAAAUGCUAUUUAUAGACUUCUGAAAUAGGCCUAUUCGCUGAGCGAAUCCGUGUUCGCUACGCGAAGAAGUUGCUUAGUUGAAGAGGUUUGCUGACACGUGUAUUUAGCUGUGACUCAUCCUUUGCUCGCUAGGUGUUCGCUGCAGCGAGCUUAUUCGCUGCAUGCUCGCUGCGUGUUCGCCAAGUACCCUGAGCUCCCGGCCUUUGUUCGCUGCAUGCUCGCUGUGGCUUCGCUGUAGCGAGUUUGUUCGCUGCAGGUUCGCUGGGUGUUCGCCAAGUACCCUGAGCUCCCGGCCUUUGUUCGCUGCAUGCUCGCUGCAGCGAAUGCUUCAGGAUUUUGAUNNNNNNNNNNNNNNNNAAUUUCUUAGUACAUACUAUAUUUACAUCAAAAGUGUUUUAUAUUCCAAGGAUUUGUUAUCACAAUUCAUUCAAUAAGUGCUUUUUAACCAUGUAUUUUAACCAAUAUUUAGCACUUAUCAAA
rnacentral:lncRNA from 1 species